rnacentral:rRNA from 1 species
AUUGAACGCUGGCGGCGUGCCUAACACAUGCAAGUCGAGCGGUAACAGGUGUAGCAAUACAUGCUGACGAGCGGCGGACGGGUGAGUAACGCUUGGGAAUCUGCCUAGUAGUGGGGGAUAACCCGGGGAAACUCGGGCUAAUACCGCAUACGCCCUACGGGGAAAGCGGGGACGUUUCGGCCUCGCGCUAUUAGAUGAGCCUAAGUCCGAUUAGCUAGUUGGUAGGGUAAUGGCCUACCAAGGCGACGAUCGGUAGCUGGUCUGAGAGGACGACCAGCCACACUGGGACUGAGACACGGCCCAGACUCCUACGGGAGGCAGCAGUGGGGAAUAUUGGACAAUGGGCGCAAGCCUGAUCCAGCGA